AGGACUUCAAAGUUCUACAAGAUUUGGAAACAAUUUCUCAGUUACAAGCAUACACAAUCUCAUGAUCCAAUUCUAUCUAAAACAUAAUCAUCCCACACCUAUCAAACACCCAGAAAGAGAUUUUUUUUUUUUUUUUUAAUCUUCAUCCACAUUUUCAUUUCAUUUCUUAGCAAGAGGAGGAAAAAAAGGGUUAAAAAUAGUGAAAAUUAAGAAAAAUACCAAUAUCCUUUCAGGCAGAAAUGAAGAUCAGAUGACCUUUAUUGGAAUUGAAGCAGCAGAGGGUUCGACAUCAGC
rnacentral:misc_RNA from 1 species